AUUGAACGCUGGCGGCAGGCUUAACACAUGCAAGUCGAGCGGAGAUGAGGUGCUUGCACCUUAUCUUAGCGGCGGACGGGUGAGUAAUGCUUAGGAAUCUGCCUAUUAGUGGGGGACAACAUUCCGAAAGGAAUGCUAAUACCGCAUACGUCCUACGGGAGAAAGCAGGGGACCUUCGGGCCUUGCGCUAAUAGAUGAGCCUAAGUCGGAUUAGCUAGUUGGUGGGGUAAAGGCCUACCAAGGCGACGAUCUGUAGCGGGUCUGAGAGGAUGAUCCGCCACACUGGGACUGAGACACGGCCCAGACUCCUACGGGAGGCAGCAGUGGGGAAUAUUGGACAAUGGGCGGAAGCCUGAUCCAGCCAUGCCGCGUGUGUGAAGAAGACCUUUUGGUUGUAAAGCACUUUAAGCGAGGAGGAGGCUACUAGUACUAAUACUACUGGAUAGUGGACGUUACUCGCAGAAUAAGCACCGGCUAACUCUGUGCCAGCCGCCGCGGUAAUAC
rnacentral:rRNA from 1 species